UGACUUUGCUAACCUGGCUAGAGCCCACACAAGUUCACAGCUUAGGUAGAAGCAAAGUCCAUUCACCCAGUCCUGUAGAGCACUUCGCUGAGCUCCCUUAGAGGAACGUAAGCUCCAUUACAUCUGGAGAAGCUGGUCAGCUCCCAUAUGAGGAGGAAAAGCCACAGCUCAGUUUACAUCCGUAUGCCAUAUCUCUAUGGAUACUUCCAACAACUCCUGGGAGGAGCCAAGAAGAAAAUGAAGAUCAACUAUUUCUAAUAGAAGAAAGCAACAAUAGUGUUUAGCUUGACCUCUCAGACGAAAAGCAGCAAACCCCACACAUCCUUUGCAAUUUGAACAGUUGUGGAAUGGACUGAAGAUUAAAAAAUGGUUCAUGAAGCACACCAGUCAAUACCCUUGCCUGCUUUUGAGAACAUGAGUUCUUACACAUCUUGCUCCAGAAGCAGGGGAUGGGAUGAAAAAUUGGAUGGCAUCCUGAAGAAGUGAAGUGGGAAGGGCUGGCAUAUUCUCAGAAACUCUUGCACAUGGUGGAGGUACUGGGUGAUCACUGUAUGAGCCCACUCUACUUUUUUAUCAUUUGAGGUGAGGUCCAGGAAAAGAUGACAUAUUAGAGGAAGUGAGUAUUGCCCACAGAGUAUAGGGUUGUUUACAGGAAAGAUGCUCCAUUUCUAAUCAUAUGCAACAUAAUAAUUUGUAUAUCAUAUGAAUCU
rnacentral:lncRNA from 1 species